AUACGGAGGGUGCAAGCGUUACUCGGAAUCACUGGGCGUAAAGCGCGCGCAGGCGGGCUGAUAAGUUGGAUGUGAAAGCCUACGGCUCAACCGUAGAACUGCAUCCAAAACUGUCAGUCUAGAGUGUGGGAGAGGAAGAUGGAAUUAGUUGUGUAGGGGUAAAAUCCGUAGAGAUAACUAGGAAUACCAAAAGCGAAGGCAAUCUUCUGGAACACUACUGACGCUGAGGCGCGAAGGCGAGGGGAGCAAACAGGAUUAGAAACCCGGGUAGUCC
rnacentral:rRNA from 1 species